GAACAUUGGAAAAAUCAAGAACUUCUCACAAAUAUUGACCAAACAAUAAUCACUUCACUCCCUCAUAUUCUCUCCUGUUUGCAUUGUUAAAUUCACUCAAUCAACACAUACAUAGCCAUUCUACCAUAUGCUUGCAAACAUUCUAACAAUCGAUCGACAUGCAUAAAAAUUCACACCUUUAGAGGACUUGAGGGUUAUAACGGGGCUUAGGUUUUUAGGGUGGAUGUUUUUUUUUGGAUGGUAAGCAGAAAAACUUGGAGUUUGAAAGAUCACCUAUUCACAUGAUUGGAUAUUUAUUCAAACAUCUUCCCCAAAAAUCAGGCAUUGUUAUACUAGAGAACCUUUUUCAUUUCUUCUUUUUUUUGUGAAGAGAUUCAUUUACAUUCUCUCUUGGUGUCAUUUUUUUCUCUUUUUUUUUUUUUUCACUAUAUUUUCAAAAUAUUUUUCUUUUUUGGUUCUCUAGUACCCGACCCCAAACUUCAUCAGUUGCUAGUACCAAAAGCAACCCCAAACUUAAUGAUGAGCACUGCUCGAGUCAUAAGUUAUGAUCUAACUCCAAGAAAAUCAUCUUUUUUUUUAUAUAGUUUCAAAACUUGGGUUGUCAAACAAACAAAAUUUUUCAUUCGGCUCAAAUGGGG
rnacentral:lncRNA from 1 species